UGUUGGACGUUCUUUCCAUCGCCCUAUAUCCGGAUUUUCAGCAUUCUUUUGAGCUUCCCGUUGGUUGUUCUCCAUUCGGAUAAUCAUCUGCUCUUCUCUUUAUUUUUUGAACUAGCCCUUUUUGCACACAUCCUGUAUUUUAUAUAAUUCAUACUUAUAUUCAUAUGCGAUCAUUUACAUCUGAUCGUUUAACAUAUUCGCAGAUUUAUUUGAUUUUAUCAAGAUAUAUUAUUUAAGUAUCAUAUGGAGAUCUUUUCAUAUGUGCCAUCAAUAGUAUUUUGUUGUAAGUAGCUGUAAAAUGUAAAAUUGCAACGAUGCAGCAUCGCUAGUCUCCAUCGAAUAAGUUCUACGCUUGUUUGUAUUAAUACAAAAAUUAAUAAUUUACUUAUUUACUCAUAUAUCAAGAUUUAUAAUAUAUUAUAUUUUUGUUGUAUUUUUAAUGUAUAGGACCGCAACGAAAUAGCAUUUCUAGUUUACACCUGGUCUCACGCGAUAAUAAAAUACAAAAAAAAGAUGUACAAAAACCACGAUUCGUCGCAAACGAUAGUGAUCAAGGCACUCCAAUCAUUGCAGCGUAGUAUGACGGUAGCUUAUUCUUUGGAAAGAAACAUCGUUACGUCAAUCGGAAAUAAACAUGAAAUUGUUACAAAAAACUAUCGUCAAGCAAUCGUGAACAUCCGAUUGUUCCAGCACGGAAUUCCUUCCGCGCAUUAUCGCGGAAUGUGUCAGUGGACAUUGUCAAUCGACAACAGAUACGUUCUGCUACACUUUUUCACGAUUCUUUUCUUGUUGUUUUUUCAGUAGAGUCCUUUUUACCGGUGAGUUUCUUGUCCCGAGAGAAUGGUUGAAAUUCUUAUCAUCGAGCGCGACACAUCGUGUGCAUGCCUGUAAUUACAAGGACGUUGCGUGGUUUUGAACGACGAUAUGUUUUGCAUGUUAACGCGACGAGUGUAACGAUGAAUUCAUGAAAGUAAAGCAAAAAUUAUCAAUGUUUUAUGGGAAAACAUAGCACGAAACAUUUUAACUUUUAGAUUUAUUUAUUACCAAAGUCAAAACGUAACGCAUCUUUAAUAUAUAUAAUGUUGGUCGAUGAUAUUAUUCUUAAAAAUUGAAGCAACGAUUGAACGAUAAUUUGUUUUAUCGAAAAAGGUGCUUAAAAUAUUCAUGAAGCAGUACGAAGCUUAAAUAAAUAAAUGAAUAAAUAAAAUAUAUUCGUGGACUAAUGUUAGUAUAAAGUUUAUAUAAAUAAAUAAAUAAAAAAUGUUCAAGACCGAGUAUUAGCUCGAAGUUUAAAUAAAUAAGAAAAGAAAAAUAAUUUGUACCGGUGAAUUGAAUUGAAUGUAUGUUAUUUCUGAUGCUUGUAAACGAGUAUCUCGAAAUAGCAAAAGAAUUUAUACAUGGUAAUUACAACAACUAAUAUUUACGUUAUAACGAAGGAAAUAAUUUUGUCUACACUUGUGAAUAUUACGAAAUUGUAGUCUCACGUUAGAACAUGUUUGAAAUACGCAUACUCAUGUUGAGACAGCUUGAACAAGACUACGUUUAGCUGUAAGCAAUAAAUCAAUUGUCAUUUGACAAUUGGAAAGGGAAAAGACAGGAAAAAUUAUGGAUUAUGUUCUUAGUAUUGUAUUCAACAACUGAACGCAUAUCGAUCUGAACAUAGAAAAUAAUUGCCUGGUUGUUAAUUUUUACUAUCAUAUUUAUUACGAUGAAACUUCCAAUUUUGUUUUAUUAUUGAAUAAGAAAUAGUUGGAACAAAUAUAAAAUGUGUUCGUUCCAAAGACAAAAAUCUGGAUUUAUUUAUUUAUACAAUUAUUUAUUUACAUUAUAUUAUUAAUUAUUUAUUUAUAUAAUAUUUGGAUAUCUUAAAAAAUAUCAUAAAAUAUGUACACAGCUGUUAAUGACUGAAAUUUGAAUUUAAAAUUACCCAAGAUACUUGCGAACAGUAUGAAUUGAGAUCAUUGGGUAAAAUCAUAAUUUUUUAAUUUUUAAUUUUAAUCAUAAUUUAACAUUGGGUAAAAUAAUUAAAUUAUGAUUAAUUGCGAUCAAUUUGAUUUUGCUUUCAAAUUAAAGCCGUAAUUAUUAUAAUUUUAUUUUUACAAUCUCUUAACUAAAAGUUCACAAGAAUCACGAUAAAAGUGUAGAAAAAUAUUUUAUCACUCGAGUUAACGCUGUUUCCAAAACAUCAAAUAAUCACAUUACACGUCAUAUUAUCGUCUCAUUAUACAUCUUGGAAUUUACACAGUUUUUAUUUCUCUGUCUCGCCAAUUUUCUAAUGUGUCUCUAUUUUCCAUAGUCCACUUGCUUGCCCAUUGCUUCAGACUAUGUUUAUAUUUUCCUUUAUUUGCAGGGAAACUCACACGUUCUAAAAUUAUCUGUGCUCCGUCAUAGCUCAAACAUGUAAAUCAAAGUAAUUGUUCAAAUUAUCAAUGUAAUUAACUUUAUUUUCAUAACCUGUUCGUCGCAAGUCAACGAAGGUCUUGGUAAAGAUACAAAAAUUGUAAUAAUAGAGAAUUUGUAACAUAUUUGAUCAUUUGAAUGGAUAGAUUGGUACAAAUUGAAAUGUUAUGUUUUCAUGGCGUUAUCCACUCUUUAAUCAGGGAUAUUCCUGGAAAUAAUCGAGGCUCCCGAUUGCAAAUUACUGGCUGACAAAAAAGAGAGCGAUCUUGGGUUGUCUAAGAUUAGAGAGAUCCUUCGUACCCAAGAGAAAGCAGCAAAAUAUUUUUUGAAAAAUGAGGACGACGUGUUCUUUUCGAUCGGGAAUAUUAAUAGAAAGUAACAGUACAUCUAACAGAUCACAGACAAAAUAGACAUCGAUGAAAGACGUGAUGCAGCGUGUAAGGCGCAUUUUUCUCAAGAAGUUCAAGUACAGAAAAUGAAUAAAAAUUAACAUUCUUGUCUCUCACUAUACUUUAUGUAUUAUUUAUAUUAUAUUUAUUACUAUAUUUUAUAGCGACAAAGUAAAAAUCCAAUGGAAAGACUUUCGUUCCCCGUAUUUAAAAUUAACAUUACUUAAAAGAUAAAAUCGGUCACUUUGAUAGAAUAAUAAUACAUAAAUGUAACUUACAGGAUAAUAAAUUUGAAAUAUAUGUACGAGUUAAAAGUGACUCAGCCUUCGCUGUACAUAGCACCGCUUCUGGUUGAGAUAUUUAAAAGGACACUUCCCAACUUGCUAAAUUAAUUCUGGAUGAGCGAUGUGAAUUUUGCUAACGAAGUACAAUUACUAUAAUUCUCAAAUAUUCCUUUGGAAGGAAGGUGGAAAAUCUACAAUGGAAUUUUUGUAUGAAUUAUUUUGGACUAUAAAGUUAUUGGUGGUAGGAAGGCUUCUUAGGCUUAUAAACAUAUAGAGAUAUUAACGUGUACAACUAUAAAUAACUAGAAGAGAUAAAAACAUAGAUGUCCUGAGCAUGAGAUGAGCAUAAGAAGAAAUUCUGACUAGGAAUCUAAAAUUUUGUAUCUAAUAAAACGUGCAGGAUAUCUGUGCGUAACAGUAAUAUUAUUGAAUUUAAAAUUAAUCCUGCACUGAAAUCUCUCUAUAAUAAU